AGUGAACGCUGGCGGUAGGCCUAACACAUGCAAGUCGAACGGCAGCACAGUAAGAGCUUGCUCUUACGGGUGGCGAGUGGCGGGCGGGUGAGGAAUACAUCGGAUUCUACUUUUUCGUGGGGGAUAACGGAGGGAAACUGACGCUAAUACCGCAUACGACCUACGGGUGAAAGCAGGGGAUCUUCGGACCUUGCGCGAUUGAAUGAGCCGAUGUCGGAUUAGCUAGUUGGCGGGGUAAAGGCACACCAAGGCGACGAUCCGUAGCUGGUCUGAGAGGAUGAUCAGCCACACUGGAACUGAGACACGGUCCAGACUCCUACGGGAGGCAGCAGUAGGGAAUCUUGGACAAUGGGCGCAAGCCUGACCCAGCCAUACCGCGUGGGUGAAGAAGGCCUUCGGGUUGUAAAGCCCUUUUGUUGGGAAAGAAAAGCAGCAGGUUAAUACCCCGCUGUUCUGACGGUACCCAAAGAAUAAGCACCGGCUAACUUCGUG
rnacentral:rRNA from 1 species